rnacentral:rRNA from 1 species
GACGAACGCUGGCGGCGUGCCUAACACAUGCAAGUCGAACGAGGUCCAAGGAGUGCUUGCACUCCUGAAGACCUAGUGGCGAACGGGUGAGUAACACGUGAGAAACCUGCCCCGGACUCUGGGAUAACUCAAGGAAACUUGAGCUAAUACCGGAUACCCUCCUGCGGUCGCAUGGCUGCUUGAGGAAAGUUUUUCGGUCUGGGAGGGUCUCGCGGCCUAUCAGCUAGUUGGUGAGGUAACGGCUCACCAAGGCAACGACGGGUAGCUGGUUUGAGAGAACGAUCAGCCACACUGGAACUGAGACACGGUCCAGACUCCUACGGGAGGCAGCAGUGGGGAAUCUUGCGCAAUGGGCGAAAGCCUGACGCAGCAACGCCGCGUGCGGGAUGACGGCCUCGGUUGUAACGCGUUCUAGCAGGACG